GAUUGAGCAGUUUGUAACGAGAAUUGGGCGAAUAAAUUUUCACGAGUGGCGGUUAUAAAUGAAGAACAUUCAUUCGGAUCAUCGUCCACUCAUCCUGGACACAUAAUAUUUUGAUUCUAAUAUUUAUAAUUUCCCGAGAGGACGAGUGAAACAGUUGGAGCGCGAUGGCUCAAAGAAGAAAUGGUUGUAAAAAUUGUACAUGCAACAUGGACUAAAG
rnacentral:lncRNA from 1 species